GACGAACGCUGGCGGCGUGCUUAACACAUGCAAGUCGAACGAUGAAGCUAGAGCUUGCUCUGGUGAAUUAGUGGCGAACGGGUGAGUAACACGUGAGUAACCUGCCCCGAACUCUGGGAUAACUGCUGGAAACGGUAGCUAAUACUGGAUACGACCUACGAAGGCAUCUUCUGUAGGUGGAAAGAAUUUCGGUUCGGGAUGGACUCGCGGCCUAUCAGCUUGUUGGUGAGGUAAUGGCUCACCAAGGCGACGACGGGUAGCCGGCCUGAGAGGGUGACCGGCCACAAUGGGGGUGAGACACGGCCAAGACUCCUACGGGAGGCAGCAGUGGGGAAUAUUGCACAAUGGGCGCAAGCCUGAUGCAGCAACGCCGCGUGAGGGAUGACGGCCUUCGGGUUGUAAACCUCUUUUAGUAGGGAAGAAGCGAAAGUGACGGUACCUGCAGAAAAAGCACCGGCUAACUACGUGCCAGCCGCCGCAGUAA
rnacentral:rRNA from 1 species